CCCUAAAGACUUCUUGCUACCAAGCAGCCCCGGGAAACCGGACUGUGGCCAGGGUAAUGACCUCGGGUAUGGUAACAACGCAAGAGUAUGAGCGCCGGAUUCUCCGGGGCGAAAUGGGCGAUCUGCAGCCAAGUCCUACGGGCCCUCUCGGGCUACGGAUGCUGUUCACAGGCCAAAUGGUGGUGGGCGAGUUCCUCUACAGGGACGAGCUUAAGAUAUGGUCGGGCCCUUGGGGAAACCCAUGGGGUAGUCACCAGCGCAACCAGGUUGAGGCGAGGAGCACAAGUGAAGCUCCCCGUCACGGGCGGUGCGCGAGAAACGAACAACUGUUCCGUAGGUGAACCUGCGGAAGGAUCAUUA
rnacentral:rRNA from 1 species